CUACAAAAAAAUGGUCAUUGUCAAGUACAUAACUUUUUUUAGCUUUUCAUGUGCGUCAGAGGCUCCUCUCACAUAUAGUACUGUAUGUGCUAAGCUUUAUGUUCCUAAUAUAGCACAAGUGACAUAGGGUACAAGUAACAUUCUUCAUAAGGUGUUACUUAACCCCCUCCUUCCCCGACUCCUCCUUUAUUUAACACAUAUGUUGGAGCCACUGUAUCAUCUUGAGCAACAACAGACACUUGCCAUAUCUCUCCUACCCAUUGAAUAGUUCUGUAAUGGACAGUUCACUUGUCUCACAUGUGUUUGCUACUAGUAUUCAGUUUUAUUUCUAUUUGGGACCAUUAGAAAAGAGACUAAUGGAUUCAAAGCAACACAUCCGAUUUUGAGAGAUGGAAGAGCUUCAUUCCUCAUCAUGUCCUUUCUGUUCAAAGGAGAAGAAAAGACAAAGAUGAUCCUGUUGGGGAAUCCCUUUCUGCAGAUCCUGAUGCCC